CACGAGCGAGCCGCUGGAAGGGAUGGCUGCCAUGCUUCAGGACCGAGGCGCUGCGGAGACGAGAGCAGAAUGUGGGCCCUGGUCACCGCACACCGGAGGGUUCCCCGAGUCUCCCGGGUCCUGACAGUGCCAGGUUUCCAAGCGGCUCCAACCAGCCCGGUCCGGCUGCGUGGUGAGACAAAGGGGCUUUGUCUGCUCCUGGCCCCAAGAAGACGCGCCUCCCCCACCCCACCGCCGGCUGCCUUCGUCACUGCCCUCACCUCGGCGGAGAACCCCUUCCUUGCAGGCUUCGUUUUUAGGCCACCAGGGCGCUAGGCCGCGGAGCCCAUUUGCAAAGAUAACCCACGAAACACCACUUUAGGACCCACGCGCGCUAUGCGCACGCGCGUACUUAGUAGCUUUCCUGCACCGCAAAAGACGCACCACUGGGAGGCGGGGCGCGCGUCAAAGCCCCUCCCGCUUCACAGCGGGCCCACCCAUGAGACUUUUGAGCUCCCCUGAUAGACCAGAAGUAGCACGAAGUGGUCCCGCCCUUCCCUAUUAGACUCCACCCCGAGCGGAGCAAGAAUCCACCCUACCUUCUGCAAUGCUAGGUUCUGCAAAGUUCCACAUUGGCCCUAACCUCCUUGAUCAAACAUCUGUGGUUUCGCUCCAGUCGAAACCAGCUCUGCUGCUUUUUUCCUGCCUGGUUCGGACUCGAACCCGGAUAGAAGAGGUUAAAGAAUCUCAUGUGCCCCUCAGUCUGUGCCACCCUCUCGGAUGUGGUCUCAUGUAGUACAGCCUGUUUGGUGUUCUUGUUCCCUUUACUUGGGGCUGCCCGCUGCUUUCGCUGGUCCCCGCAGGCUUUAUUUUCCACGUACCUCACUCCGACCCUUGACUGAGUGGAUCUGUUUAACAUAAGUAAGCACAAGCUGUUGCCGCGCACCUCCCUACCAUCGCAAUCUCUGUUUUCUGGGCUCACUGGAUGGUGCCUGGAGCCCCCAAGCGGUCCUGUAGGGAAUAGCCUGCCCUUGGUAAGCUGAGGAGCUGUCUGUCUUUCAAGUCCUGACUCGCAUUGUUGUUCAUCAUUCCCAACCUGUGUUCUGUUUGGAGAGGAGUGAUGGAAGACAGACGAAGCCUUGGGGUCAGAGAGAGCUCUAACAGAGACAGUCUCUAGUAGCUUCCAUUGUUGGUCGGAGACUCAUGUUUGGGGGGAAUCAAGUUAGGGCUGGCCAGCAUGCCCUGCCCACCCUUCCCUUCCUCAGCAGCCUGUGUUCUGUCAGACCGAGAGGAUCAUGAGCCAGCUUCGUGCAGCAUGCUUCUCCUAUAACCAAAGAUGCUGGACUUCAUUGGAGGCUCAGGGAGAACCGACUAGGCUGAGGCUAGUAGGAUCCCAGGAGGAGGCUCUUGUGUCGCCGAAGUCUCAAGGCUGCUUGGCUGGGACCCUUUGCUUGGAUUUGUUGAGACCUACUCUGUGCAAGCAUUGAUCCAGGCUCGGGAAAACCAGACAAGAAAUGGUCCAGUAGGGGUGCUGGUUUAGAGAUCAUAAAGGAGAUGGGUAAGGUGUAAUGAAAAAGAGGUGGGGGCAGUUGACAUGACAGCAGUACAAGUGAGUAAGGCCACUGAUAAGGACCGUCCUGGUGACACCAGGAGGGUGAGACUUCUGUCUUCAUAGUGUUAUGUACUUCAGAUUCUAUGACUUACCCUGAACUGUCCUGGUCAAGUACAUGGGCAUCUCCAGUGGUUAUUAGCUAUUUCCUGUAGUGAAAAUUCCCUCUGAAAAGAAAGUAAAGGAUAUAUGCCUAGUUCUAUUGCAUCUUCUUAUGCCUGCUCUUUUCUGAAGGGAAAGAGAGGAACAAUGGAUCUGGGGAAGAUGGGAGAUGGGCAAGGUCAGGGAGAAGGAGAAAGGGAGGCUGCUGUGGGGAUGUAUUGCAUAUGAGAUGAGUGAAAAAUAAAACCUCCCAAGAAUACAAGGACUUGCUGAUGAUUGCACACGCCUUUAUCCCAGCACUUGGGAAGCAGAGGCAGGCGAAUCUCUGUGAGCUCGGAGCCAGCUUGGUUUACAGAGCUAGUUCCAGGAUGACCAGGGCUACAUAGAGAAGGCCUGUCUCGAAACAAACAAUUACAAGAGAGUUCCAGGAACUCACAAGAGAUUUACCAACACUUGCCACACUCUUCUCCAGGUUAUAUAAACUGUAACUGAUUGCUGGGACAAGGGGACGCUCCAGCAUAGUAGACUGCAACCAGGAAACUCAAGCAGCCUCCUUGACUUGUCACUCAGCCUCAUAUGAGCCUUGUGACUGAGCUUCUGAGUCACCUUCACUUUUGUAAGUGACCCUUACAUCUUAGUAGUUUACUCAUUGUCAUACAGUCUGUUGCAGAGGGACAUCAUGGCAGCAGGAACAUGAGGCAGCAUGGUCAUGUCUGCAGUUAGGAAACAGAAAGAUGAUGGCUGGUGCUCACCUCACUCUCCUUUUCUUUGUUUAUUCAAGAAUGCAGCCCAUGGGAUGGCACUGUCCACAUUUGGGGAAUGUCUUCCCACCUCAGUUCCAAUCUAGAGACUUCUUCACAGACAACAUGUGCAAAGGCUCAUUUCCAUAGUGGCUCGAACUCCCAUCAAGUCUGCUAAGAUUAACCACCAAAUACCCACGCUUCCAUCAGUAAUUCUAGUAAACUCAUUGGUUCACAAGCU
rnacentral:lncRNA from 1 species